AAAUCGUGAGGGUUCAAGUCCCUCUAUCCCCAAUCAAAAUGCUUUAUGCA
rnacentral:tRNA from 16 species